AGUAGAGGCCUCCCUUCCGCGGAGGUGGUGCAGGCUGCUCGGCUACCCAGCGAGGUCCACGCGCAGCCAACCCGGCGCUCGGUUCCCCGGCCGCUGUCUCCCGCUGCAGGCGGCGGCGCCGGGCCUCGGAGGCUUCUAAUGUGAGGAAAAACAUGGAAUGACAAGUGUGGGAAAGAGCAAGCACUAAAUUACUGUCAGAAAAAUAAACGGAGCAGCACAGUGGUGCUCCGUGAUUUACGGGGGCAAUUAGUCACCACCCCACAGCGCUGCUGAGGACGGCCUGGCAGCAGACACAUCAGGCCCAUGAGGAGGAAGAGGCUCUGCACUAAGCUCCAGAUGACUUUUCAAACAAGAGCAAGUCCGUGAGCACAUGAGAGUCUGUGUGUUCAUUCUGGGUGUCUACCCUUCACACUCCCCACCAGCUUGAAAAAUAAACAGACUUUUCUUGC
rnacentral:lncRNA from 1 species